AGGUACAGAGGGGUGCUACCGGGUGACCGGAUGCCGAUCUCGAAAACCUGUCCCAGUUCGGACUGGAGUCUGCAACCCGACUCCACGAAGUUGGACUCGCUAGUAAUCGCGCAUCAGCCAUGGCGCGGUGAAUACGUUCCCGGGCCUUGUACACACCGCCCGUCAAGCCAUGGGAGCCGGGGGCGCCUGAAGUCCGGGACCGCGAGGACCGGCCUAAGGCGAAACUGGUGACUGGGGCUAAGUCGUAACAAGGUAUC
rnacentral:rRNA from 1 species